GGAUGCGAUCAUACCAGCACUAAAGCACCGGAUCCCAUCAGAACUCUGAAGUUAAGUGUGCUUGGGUGAGAGUAGUACUAGGAUGGGUGACCUCCUGGGAAGUCCUCGU
rnacentral:rRNA from 1 species